UAUUAAGCAAAUCCUGGCUUCCUACUUCUC
rnacentral:piRNA from 1 species